rnacentral:misc_RNA from 1 species
AACCUAGCACACCUGCGGUGUGUACCUGCGGAGGGAUCAUUAUCGAGUUAGGGUCUUCUCAGGCCCGACCUCCCAACCCUCUGUUUACUAAACCGAUGUUGCUUUGGCGGGCCCGUCUCAGGACCCCGGGGGACCGUAAGACGUCCUCUGGCCCGUGCCCGCCGGUGGCCAACCUUAACAAAUUCUGAUUAAAACGUGUCACUGUCUGAAUCACAUUUUUUAAUUAAAGCAAAACUUUCA